rnacentral:rRNA from 1 species
CCUACGGGGAGCUGCAGUGAGGAAUAUUGGUCAAUGGGCGAGAGCCUGAACCAGCCAAGUCGCGUGAGGGAGUACUGCCCUAUGGGUUGUAAACCUCUUUUGUCGGGGAGCAAAAGCCGGACGUGUCCGGCUGUGAGAGUACCCGAAGAAAAAGCAUCGGCUAACUCCGUGCCAGCAGCCGCGGUAAUACGGAGGAUGCGAGCGUUAUCCGGAUUUAUUGGGUUUAAAGGGUGCGCAGGCGGAUUUUUAAGUCAGCGGUAAAAUCGUGGGGCUCAACCCCAUCCAGCCGUUGAAACUGGGGAUCUAGAGUGUGCGAGAGGUAUGCGGAAUGCGUGGUGUAGCGGUGAAAUGCAUAGAUAUCACGCAGAACCCCGAUUGCGAAGGCAGCAUACCGGUGCACAACUGACGCUCAGGCACGAAAGCGUGGGUAUCGAACAGGAUUAGAUACCCGUGUAGUC